GCAGCAGCCACGGGAAUACGAAGGGGGCUAGCGUUGCUCGGAAUUACUGGGCGUAAAGGGCGCGUAGGCGGGUCGUUUAGUUAGAGGUGAAAGCCCAGGGCUCAACCCUGGAAUUGCCUUUAAUACUGGCGGCCUUGAGUAUGGCAGAGGUGUGUGGAACUCCGAGUGUAGAGGUGAAAUUCGUAGAUAUUCGGAAGAACACCAGUGGCGAAGGCGACACACUGGGCUAUUACUGACGCUGAGGCGCGAAAGCGUGGGGAGCAAACAGGAUUAGAUACCCCUGUAGUCCCUGUCUCUUAUAC
rnacentral:rRNA from 1 species